AUUUUUAUUAGAGAUGGGGUUUCACUGUGUUAGCCAGGAUGGUCUUGACCUCCUGACCUCAUGAUCCACCCGCCUCCGCCUCCCAAAGUGCUGGGAUUACAGGCGCGAGCCAGUGCGCCCGGCCCGGUGAAACCAUGUCUCUACUAAAAAUUCAAAAAAUUAGCCGGACCUAAUUUUUUGGUUGCCUGAGCCUGUAAUGCCAGUUACUCGGGAGGCUGAGUAUUCUCUGGUUGAGGAAGGAGAAUAGCUUGAACGCAGGAGGCAGAGGUUGCAGUAAGGCGAGAUCGCGCCAUACACUCCAGCGGACUGUUUGCUGUUAAUCCCAUAGGGAAAAGAAAAGCUUAGUUUUAUUUCUAUAGAACAACAACAAAAAAAGCUAAGAGAUUAGUAGAGACGGGUUCACCAUAUUUGCCCACACACGCCUGAGGUCGAGCGAUAUUAACAUAAACAUAACCUAUCGACCUACCUCAUAGAUUGCUGGGAUUACAAACGUGAGAACCACUAUGUCCCAAAUUUUUAGUUUCAGUGAAGUUACAGAUGGGAACAAAGACCUGAUUCUCAGCUUAUGCUGACGCCUAGUAUGCGUUUCUGCAGCAAACAAAACGUACUUUUAAAACGACAAAAAUGCAGGGGAAAGCAUGAACGCAGUCCACCACUACCACAAAUCAUACAGUCGAGUUCCCCACAUUUGCAGAAACUGCAGGGGUCAGCACAUCCGGAGUGCAAUGGAUAAGCCUCGCUCUGGAAAAAACCACCUUCGUGACUAUGGUAUCUCUCCUGCCAGGUCCGACCAGCGGUCCUGAACCCGCUCCCACGGCACGGGAACUCCUUCGUGGUGAAGCAGCAUGUGGCGAAGCAGCAGCCCCUGCGCUGGCUCAUCUACAUAGAAGUCGCCCUAUCCGUGAUGUCACCGACAGUGCCUUUCCCAGUCCCCGUCUGCCUUUCUGCCGCUCAGCCGACCAACCCGCUGCCGGAGCCGGCAAGGGGAAGUGAUGUCUGCCUCUCCCUUUUUUCUCUCCUGCUUCCCUUAUCUGUUCUCUUCCAAAGAAGCUGGUCCUUAGCCUGUAUUGCGGAGCAAGCUUUCGGCGACCAGCUGGACCCUGGGCACCCUUCUUCGAACAAUGGCUUUUAGUUCUCAGACUAGAACGUUUAGGAUUACAAAAGAAACUGGUUAUUUUCACAUCCUUAUUCUUGUGAUGUAGCAUUCCGCAUAUAUAUAUAUAUAUAUCCAACUAUCCUAAAAGACACUGCCCUUCAUCAUUCCAUGCCGUUAGACAUUUAUAGGACCAUGCAUGGUGAUCUCCUCCAGACAAAAGUAAAUGCUGGUGCAGAACAGGAUUUGAGUUUGAUGUCAUGCAUAUAAUGUGAUCCCACUGUAUGACUACACAAAUGUUGGCAAAAGUAAGUUCAGAGGAAAUGGUAGGCAAGUACUUCCCAGUUUUGACCAGAAGAUGGAGAAAAAAAGAAUUCUCAAAAAAUGUUAAAGGUGUCUACAGAGAAAUAGACAAGCGAUGCACGACAGAUACAUGUGUCAGUCCGGUCCCUGCAGUUGUAUUUGUAAUAAUACACAUUGGAGCAAUUUCAUGGCCAUCGGUUAGAGAAUGUUUGAGGAAUGAUCCAUUCAUAUCAAGAAGGACAUUUCAAAGAUCAAAACCUGAUGGAAAUGCUGGAGACCAUGGCGCUGAUAGGAGCUCAUGUGUGUUGACCAAUUACUACAUGACAGGCAUUGUCUCCACGCUUUUCCUGCACUGCUCAUUUAAACACUGGACAACCUAAGUGUUCUGAUUUAGCCCAUUGGACAGAUAGAAAUGGAGGCACAGAAGAUUAAUGUGUUUAACUUCAAACCCUGGCAGAUUAGGUUUUUCAUCCAGAGCCUGUGGCUUCACCAUAGGUGUGAUUCACGUUCUGUCAUUCUCCACUUUAGGAAUUUCCAGUAUUCCAAAUAUGAGAAGCUGAGAAAACAAACAACAAACUCAAAACCCUAAAAACCAGGAUACAUAAGGGUAGAUGUUUGUUGGGUGUGGAUUAAAAAUGGACUUUUUUUGCCCCAAGCAACAAAGAGGCACCUUAGAAAAUAGACAAGAGACAAGAGGAAGAGAAGCUUUAAGAGAUAUUUGGUCCAAGGAGGAGACUCUUCAGAUGGAAGGUCAUGUCAGCUAGAAACAUUAAUAUGACUGGAUGGGCUCAAACCACUGACUUUUCAGUCAACAUCCGACAGCACUAACCCAGUGUUCCAGAGACACUGCUUGUUAAACAGUGAAAGCUGUUGCUCAAUUGUGUCAUCCAUAAUUGUCAAAUAUUGCCAUUUAGUAGCACAAGGAAGUAUUCUCCGUUGCCAAGCUAGAGUACCCAUAACUCUUCUGUUUUGUUGAACAUUCUUCCCCACCACAAACCCUCUUUAGAAGACUGGGGGCUCCUAAAGCAUUGAGGCCGAGAGUCCCGUCCUUGUGCAAGUUUGGGCAUUGACCCAGGGCCAAGUCAGUGGGAGACUCCUCCACACCUACGCCAGGUCCCCAGGUGACAACUGCAGUCUCUGGAUCUGAAGUCAUCCACGUUCCCAUUCCUAGCUCACCUCACCCAUCGUGAAGCCUGGUUAGUAUUGCCAGAGACCCGAGUGGGCAGAUGCCCACACCAAAGACAGAACCUGCUGCGUGCCCACCUUGCUGAUCCCUCCCUCCUUCUAGACAAAGGCUUCAUAAGCCAGGGACCUUGGGUUUGCUCACAAGGCAGCCCCUCACCUAGUAGGCAUUAGUUCAUUAUGUAUAUGUAUAUGUAGUCCUCAGGUUGUAUUCCUUAAAUAUAUAUAGUUUAAGGAUAUGUAUUAUAUAUAUAUAUAAAUAUAUAUGUAAUUCCUUAAAUAUAUAAUUUUAAUACAAUUUUUUUUUGAGACAGAGUCUCACUCUGUCUCCCAGGCUGGAGUGCAGUGGCACCAUCUUGGCUCACUGCAAGCUCCACCUCCCAGGUUCACGCCAUUCUCCUGCCUCAGCAUCCCAAGUACCUGGGACUACAGACGCCCGCCACCACGCCAGGCUAAUUUUUUUUUUUUGUAUUUUUAGUAGAGAUGGGGUUUCACCAUGUUAGCCAGGAUGGUCUUGAUCUUCUGACCUCAUGAUCCACCCACCUCGGCCUCUCAAAGUGCUAGGAUUACAGGCGUGGACCACCGCGCCUGGCCAAAACAAAGUUUUUAAAAGAUUCCUUUAAUAAACAUUUACAAUAACAUCAAGAAAUAUAAACGACCUAGCAAAUAUGUGAAAGCCAGCCAGACUCUCAAUGGCAUCCAGAAAUAUAAACGACAUAGAAAAGACAUGAAAGCCAGCCAGGCUUGGCUUCAAAUCCCAGCACUUUGGAAGGCUGUGGCAGGAGGGUUGCUUGAUCUCAGAAGCUUGAAACUAGCCUAGGCAACAUAGUGAGCCCUCAUCUCUACUGAAAAUCAGAAAAAUUAUCCGGGUUUGGUGGUGUGAGCCUGUAGUCCCAGGAAUCAGUGGAUGAGGCCCUAGGAUGUCAUAGGCCUGAGAAUUCCAUGCUGCAGUGAGCUGUGAUUGUGCCAGUGUACUCCAGCCUGGGUGAAAGAGUGAGAUCCUGUCUAGAAACAAAAGAAGAAAAAAAGAGAUAUGAAAGCCUAUAUAUUGAAGACUACCAAGUACUGCUUAGAGCAGUUAAAGACCUUUGGAAUAGAAAAUGUUUCUUCUUGCAUUUCAAGAUUGCUUUUUUUUGGGGGGGACACACUAUUUUUUAGGAAUAUGAAGUUCUUCUCAGGCAUUCCUGUAAAAAAGGCCACUUUUUGAUAGGAUUGUAUUGAAUCUGUGGGUUGCUUUGAGUUGUAUUUUUAUCUUAACCAUGUUACAACUUCCAACCCAUGGACCCAAGAUGUCUGUCCAUUGAUUUAGGUCUUCCUGAAUCUCCUCGAGCAAUGUUCUGUAGUUGUCUGUGUACAAGUACUGCACCUUCUUGAACAAAUUUAUUCCCAGGCAUAUUAUUCUUACAAGUGCUAUUAUAAAUGAAAUCAUUGUGUCAAUUUUCUUCUCAGAUUGUUCAUUGCUAACACAACUGAUUGUUUGCUGAAAGUUUGCUGAAUUCGCUUAUUAACUCUAGUAGUGUGUGUAUGUGAGUGUGUGUGUGUGUGUGUCUGGCCUCUAUGUGCGCAUGUAUGUGUGUUUGCAUCUGUAGGUAUUAUUUGGGAUUUUCUAUGCAUAGGAUCACACCAUCUGCAAAUUGAGAUCAUUUUGUUUUCUGUUCAAAAAUACUUUUUCUCAUGUUUAUUUUUAAAAGAUAAUUUGGCCAGGUGUAGAAUUGUAGGUGACAGUUUUCCUUUUUUUAAGUACUCUAUUGCAAACUUCUUGUUUGUAUGAGAAAUCUUAUGCCAUCCUUAUAUUUAGUGCUCUGUAUGUAACAUGUUCUUUCCCUUUUUAUUCCUUUUAGGAUUUCCUUUUUAUCACUGGUUUUGAUGGAUUUGAUUAAGAUGUUCCUUGGUGAAGUUUUCUUCAUGUUUCUUGUUCUUAGAAUAAUCAUAUUUCUGUAAUAUUUGAAGUUUAUGGUUUCCAUGGAGCUUCUAAAUCUUUCAUCCAGUAUGUUUUAAAUAUCUUUGUCUCUCUUCUCCACUAACUGCCCUUCAGGGAUUCCAUUUAGCCCUAUACUAGGGGGUUUAAAGUUUUGAUGCUGAUGGUCUUUUUAUAUUUUCAAGUCAUUUGUUACUGUGUGUUUCAUUUAUGUUAGUUUCAACUUCUAUUCCUUCUAGUUCAAUAAUCUUCUCUUCUGCAAUGUUUAAUCCACUGCCUUCUUCCAUUUCAGACUGUAAAUCAUACUUUUUAUCUACAGAAUUUGAUAUUUAAAAAAUUUUCAACCUCCCCAUUUAAUUAAAGUACAAUUAUACUAACUGCUCUAAUGUCCUUUUCUUCUAUUUCCAACAUGUCUGUCAAUUUCAACUAGAUUAUUAGAUUCUUCAUUAUGUGUCAUGUUUUCCUGCUUCUUUGGCUGCUUGAUAUUCUCUUAUUUUUAUUUUAUUUUUUGUGGGGGGAUAGAGUUUUGCUCUCGUUGCCCAGGCUGGAGUGCAAUGGUGUGAUCUCAGCUCACUGCAACCUCCACCUCCCAGGUACACAAGCGAUUCUCCUGUCUCAGCCUCCCAAGUAGCUCAGAUUACAGGCAUGCACCAUCAUGCCUGGCUAAUUUUUUUGUAUUUAGUAGAGAUGGGGUUUCACCAUGCUAGUCAGGCUGGUCGUGAACUCCUGACCUCAGGUGAUCCAUCUGGCUGCUUGAUAUUCUAAGAUUUGAUGCUGGAACUUUGGUGUCAAUGCUCAAAAUGCCCAAAGACACCACUCAACCUCAGUGUCUAUGCACACCCAAGCUUUUGCAGCAGGACAGGUAGAGCAGAGAUGAGUGUGCUACAACAUGCUGGUAGAGGGUACCCCAAUUGUGCUUGGGGAUUUCCUAUUCCUCAUGGAAAAAUGUGUCUUCCUUAAUUUUUCCCAUAAGAACCACCCUACUUCAUGCCCUGUCUCUCUGUCCAAACACCAGGACAGUCCUCUCACCAGUCUCAACCACCCAAUGGAUUGACAAAGGUGCAAAUAUGAUUCAGUGGAGAAGGCAUUCUCUUGUCAACAAAUUGUUUAGAAACAACUUUUUUUUACACAAUUUGUUUUUUUUUUAUCCCCAAAGGAAAAAAAUUCACCGGAACCUCAAUACUAAAUCAAAAACUAACUCAAAAUGGAUUAUGCAACUAAAUAUAAACUAUAAAACUAGAAAAAGUAUAGCAGAAAAUAUAAGACAAAAUCUUCAUGACACAGAGUUAGGCAAAGUGUUCUUUAUUAUCAAUAAACACAAACCAUUAAAGAAAACAUUGAUAAAUUCGACUUUAUAAAAAUUAAAAGUUUUUGCUCAACAGUAUUAAGAAAACAAAUAUAAGCUGCAGUUUGGGAGAAAAACAGUGGAAAUCACCAAUAUGACAAAGGGCAUGUGUGAUAGUUACUUGUACUUGUCACUGUGACUGAGCACCAGGGUGCCAGGACAUUUGGCCAAACAUGAUUCUGGUUGUGUUCCAGAGAGUCUUUCAGAUAUGAUUAACAUUGGGAUGGGCAGACUAAGUGAAGCAGAUUGCCCUCCUUAAUAGGGGUGGGCCUCAUGCAAUCAAUCAAGGGCCAGGAGAGAAUUAAGAGGCCUAAUGGGAAACAAAUGCUUUCCUGGGUAUCCAGCUUUCCUUCCAUCUUGGGAAUUUCAGCCUCCAUAAUCUCAGAAGCAAAUUCAUGUAUAUAUAUACACACACAUAUACAUUUCAUAGGUAUGUGGCUAAGAUUGUAUUUUUACAAGUUCAGCCAUGAGAUUGGUGAAGCCAGCCAAUGAAUAAGGGUGUGUUCUAUUAUACGAUUCAGUCUUCUUUUGUAAACGAUUGAAGUUCUGCAUUUGAAGUAGGAGGAUAGGAGGGAGCAAGUCCACCUAGGAUGAUAACAGCUGAAUUUCUCAACAUACACUUCAGAGCCGUAGGGGUCAACUUAGAGACUCAAAAAUCUCACCCAUAAUCCUGCCCCUAAACACCAGGGCUAGGGAACACUGUGGCCCUCAGUUGAUUUUCUUUAGCCAGGUCUGGGAGCCACACGACGGCAGAGGGAGCAGGAAACACUAUGCAAAUAGAGGCCAGGACAGCAGGGAGGGCCUGUUCAUGAUAGAACCCAGGUAAAACUAUCUUCAGAAAGCGAGUGUGGAGAAACAUAGAUCAUGCCUGAGACCUGGUGGAUUAGAGCACUGGCUACUGGGGAAUUGAAAGGAAGGGGCUUCACCGUGCAGAGGACCAGAGGUGCCAAUCUUGGAAAUGCAGAAUUGCUGGGAGAUGGGGAGGCACGGACCAUGGAAGUAUCCUCUGGAGACUCAUGGUGAAGAGAACAAAUGAAUGAAGUAACUGGCAGAAAUUAGAGGUCCUGGUAGAACAAAAUAGAAUCCCACAAUGAGAACAUACACCAUGUAUGUCCCCCAAGGAAGACAAUAUCUCCUAAAAACUCCAGAAAAAUCAUUUUGGGCAAGCACCUUAUAUCUAGUAAUGCGAUCCAUGUAACGAGACCGUGAGAAAAGAUUAUUAAACAUGCUAAACUCAGCGAGACCUGAUUCCCUCAUGAGGACUCUGUUAAGGAUGAGUACCACUCAGCAAGUGAUGACUGUGACAUUCACUUUUGAAUAGCUCAUGAGCGUUAAUAUAUUUCAUUGUGGAUCUAAACCAAAAACCAAGGUAGGGGCAAGAUGAUAAUCACAGAAUGUCACCGGUAUAUGUUUAGGUUCAAAUACUAUUAUGAGAAGUGGCAGGUAAAGGAGGUAGGAAAAAGAAAACACAUCAUGUAAUUGACUGUUGUAUGGAAAUAUUUGAUGCUGAAAGUUAUAAUUUAAAACUAUAAACCAAAUAUUAGAAGUGUGUCUAGUUCAAAGGGAGGAAAACCAUCAAAAACAUUUUUAGUGCAAUAUUUAACAUGAGCUAUACAACCCUUCCUAAAUGCCAAAGGCACACACAGACACACACACAGACACACACACACACACACACACACUCACA